GCUGGGUGUGGUGGUGCACACCUGUAAUCCCAGCUACUCGGGAGGCUGAGGCAGAAGAAUUGCUUGAACCCAGGAGGCAGAGGUUGCAGUGAGCCAAGAUUGUGCCACUGCACUCCAGCCUGGGCAACAGAGUGAGACUUUGUCUCAA
rnacentral:SRP_RNA from 1 species